rnacentral:misc_RNA from 1 species
GGAAGGAUCAUUCACACAUUAGUUGCCUUUCAGGUGACAUCAUGUCCCGUGAAACUAGUCCCAGGAGUAGUAGCUCGCAAGAGCGAACCUGCUGGUCGACAUUCUGUCCUUCGGGAUGGAAACCUUUUUUCUAGUUGUGCUUAGCCAUUCACUUCGGUGACUUGGUGAACACGCUAACAAAAACUUAACAGACCCUUAACGAUGGAUACCUCGGCUCGUGAAGCGAUGAAGGACGCAGCAAGGUGCGAUAAGCACUGUGAAUUGCAGAAUUCCGCGAACCAGUAGAUCUCUGAACGCAUUUUGCGCAAGUGUAGUUUACUGCACUUGCAGGUCUGUGUCAGCGUUGUCACCAUAAAUCGCAUUGCAACCUCUUUCGGGGGGUAUGUCAAUGUGGUGUGAAGCUUGUGAAUUGUACUUGUACAAGGAGCGAGCUUCGGAUUUGUGCGUUACCAGGGUGAUCUGCUGCUUCGGCAGUGGAACACACGUACGCAUUAUGACAGUGAACGUUGCAGGAGAAUAGGACUUGUCUUAUUCAAAUGUGGGUUAUUGCACAAUGACGUAAUGGGUUGACUUGUCACCCUUGCAGUCAGUUGGUCUAGUGGGUUCGCCUAAUAGUACCAUAAGCUGUAAGAGAGAGAGAAGUUGUUCUAAUUCGAAUCUAGUGCUUACACAUUACCAACCUGAUACAGACCAGACAACCCGCUGAAUUUAAGCAUAUAAGUAAGCGGAGGAAAAGAAACUAACUAGGAUUCCCUUAGUAAUGGCGAAUGAACAGGGAUGAGCCCAGUGCCCAAUCGUAUAUCGUGAGGUAUGCGAAAUGUGGUUUUGGUGGCUGACCAGUGGCAUCUCCGGUAAAAGUCCCUUGGAAAAGGGCGCCUAGGAGGGUGAUAGCCCCGUUCAUUACUGGAUGUAUGUCACGUACGGUCGCUGCUCAACGAGUCGCGUUCCUUGGGAUUGGAGCGCAAAUAGGUGGUAAAUUCCAUCUAAGGCUAAAUAUGACCACGAGACCGAUAGCAAACAAGUACCGUGAGGGAAAGGUGAAAAGAACUUUGAAAAGAGGGUUAAAAGUGCUUGAAAUCGUUAAGGGGGAAGCGAAUGUCGCUGUUGAAUUUGUGCUCGAAAGGAUUGUUUAUUGCUGGGGGUGGUGCGCUUGGCGUUAGGGCAACCAAUAGCCAGGUGUUUAAGCCUUUAGUGUUGGAUGUCUCCUUUUGAGCAUAAGCAACACCAACUUAUUGUCGUGGUUAAGUCAUGGAUGGGGGGCAUGCUCACGGGUAUCGCUUCACGCUGUGGCGGCCAAGGCGAAGGGUUGAGAAAUUAUUGUGUGGUUCCACUUGUGGGUGUUCUCUCUCGUCUCGCUGCACUCGUCGCCCUGCGACGAUGGCUCUGAUUCUGGGUUUGAUUUGCCUGCUUGCAUCUGCACAAGAAGUGUUGCUAACAACGGCGAUAUUUGUCCCGUCUUGAAACACGGACCAAGGAGUCUAACGUGUAUGCGAGUGUGUGGAUUGAAAAUCCAUUCGCGUAAUGAAAGUGAUCGUAGUGAUAGUUGGCUUCGGCUAGCUGGCAACUAUGACCGACCUUGAUCCUCGGUGACAGGUUUGAGUAUGAGCAUAUCCGUUAGGACCCGAAAGAUGGUGAACUAUGCCUGAGUAGGGUGAAGCCAGGGGAAACUCUGGUGGAGGCUCGUAGCGAUACUGACGUGCAAAUCGUUCGUCAAACUUGGGUAUAGGGGCGAAAGACUAAUCGAACCAUCUAGUAGCUGGUUCCCUC